rnacentral:lncRNA from 1 species
CUGUUCUGAUAUCUAAGUACCUGGACUUCUUCUGCCUUCUGUAUCCCUUGAGCUUUGUGUCCAAGCAGCUGGAUUGUUCUGGGCUCAGCUAUCCCAUGGCUCCUGCUCUUUUGCCUGCCGCCCUUCCUCUGUGUGUGUGUCUGCUGCUGGCAUCUGGCUCUGCCCAGGCAGGCAAGCUGCUGGUGGUGCCCAUGGAUGGCAGCCACUGGUUUACCAUGCGGUCAGUUGUGGAGAAACUCGUCCACAGAGGGAAUGAGGUGGUUGCUAUCAUGCCAGAGGUGAGUUGGCAACUGGGACAGUCACUGAAUUUUACAGUAAAGACUUUUUCAACUUCUUACACUCUGGAGGACUUGGACCGAAUAUUCAACUUUUUUAUUGACACUCAAUGGAAAACUCCAGAACAAAGUACGUAUAGUCUGGCAAUGGGUUCAUCCAAAGCAUUUUUUGACAUCAGUUUUUCACGGUGUAGGAGUUUGUUUAAUGACAAGAAACUAGUGGAAUACUUAAAGGAGACCUCUUUUGAUGCAGUGUUUUUGGAUCCUUUUGAUGUGUGUGGCCUAGUUGUUUCCAAAUACUUUUCACUUCCAUCCGUAGUCUUUACCAGGGGAGUGUUUUGCUAUUACUUUGAAGAUGGAUUACAGUGCCCUAGUCCUCUGUCUUAUGUUCCCAGAUUUUUCUCAAUGUCUUCAGAUGCUUUGAGUUUCAUGGAGAGAGUAAGGAACCAUCUAUUCUACUUGGAAGAGCAUUUAUUUUGCCCUUAUAUUUUCCAAACUGCCUUGGAAGUUGCCUGUGAAAUUCUCCCAUCACCUGUCACAAUAGGUGAUCUCUUCAGCCAAAUAUCCAUUUGGUUGUUAAGAACUGACUUUGUUUUGGACUAUCCCAGACCUGUGAUGCCCAACAUGAUCUUCAUUGGUGGAAUCAACUGCCACCAGAGGAAGCCACUACCCAAGGUAUGUUGUGUCUCCUUUAGC